AAGAAGCACUGCUAAAAUGGAUCCAGCUGUGUCAUACAGUCAGAAUGAUUGCAAGACUCUUUACUCUCCAGCUACUGUUAUUGAAGUUGGCCAGGACCCAACACUUGUGAAAGAUUACGUUGUGUGGUCCCUUUUCAACCUUGUUAACAUGAACUGCUGCUGCCUGGGAUUGAUUGCAUUGUUUUAUUCUGUUAAAUCCAGGGACCAGAAGCAUUCAAAGAACCUGACUAGAGCCAGAGACUAUGGUGAAACUGCUAAACGCUUCAACAUCGCCAGCACUGUCAUUUCUGUAAUUGCUGUUGUCAUCAUUUUAGCCAUUUAUGUAACAACCAUUAUUGCUGUGCUGCAAAACAUCCAAAGUGGACCGUGAAGCUCUUUGUCAUUAUGGGCUUGUGUGGCAAUGCGCCCCACCCCUGUGUGUAUUUGUGUGUUAUGUGUUGUAUGUUGCGUGUGUUAAUGUUGGUGUAUAGAUUGGUACACGGGAUAUAAACGGGUCUGUGUUUCACGUGUAUUUAAAAAGUGUAGAUUUGUAUUUAGGCACGAGGAGAGCACAAAUCACUUCACGUGCUGGUUAAAUGUAAUAUGUGAGCACGGGGUUGCACAGAAUUAAUUCACGUGCUGGGAUUCAAGUGAAUAAUUAAUUAGUAAUUGAAUCCCAGCACAAUAGUAUAUAUAGACGCACAUUUCUUGCAGUCGGGGUUGGGUGUUCGAGAGUGGAGAACGGGUGUGGAGAAGGAGAAACUAAAUAAUAAGAAAGCAAGCGUAAAUAUGAGUGUUGUACUCACCGUGUUUGUUUGUCUCUCCGUGCACCGUUUGUUUAAGUGUAGUACGUUUUGUUUGUCUAUUUAUUUUGGCGCAAGUGCCGUGUCCCGUGUUUUGUGUUCAAACCUUUUAUUUUCUGUUCUGUUAUUAAAUGCUGAGCGCGAUCACGCGCUCAGCCUCACCAAAACCCCAAAUCUCUGUCUGUUUAUUUCCUGCAUCUGGUCUGACGCCACCCACUCCGGCCGUCUUUGUGACAGCUUGUCAUUCCUUUUAAAAAAAAUGUCACCAUCAGAUAUAUUUGGUAUAUUUUAUGGAUAUUUGCUUAGUACAAAAUACAUUAUGUACAUUUACUAUUAAAGUCUUUUAUGCUUUUUUUUACUGAAAUGCACGGUUAAUUGCAAGAAUGUUAUCAAUCAAACGUAUUAUUGUCUGUAGUGUAUAACCGCACGUCAUUGAGACCACUUGUAAUAAUGCGAUAAGAACAUUAAUUGAUUGAAAUGCCAUAUAGAAGUGUAAAUCAGUCAACAUAUAUAUGGAUCCAUAUAUAUAUAUAUAUAUAUAUAUAUAUAUAUAUAUGGAUUGCUGAACAAGAUGAAAUGCAAGCGGCAAAAUGGAUCUUUUUAAAAAAACUGUCCUGCACUAUUGAAAUGUAAUCAGUUAUAUUUCUGUUCUUUUUUAACAUGAAAUAAAUACAUUUUCAAGCAAA